AAAAAGAACAGAGAGAGGGGGAAAGAGAGAAAUAGAUAGGGACAUAGAGAGAGGGUAGCAGUUGGCGUGUCUCCUCCCCCUCCACCUUCAGAGCUGCGACCUAAAACACAAACACAUAUGUGCAGAAAUAAGCAAACCUUUGUGGCACCCCUCGAGCCCCGCAAACCCUUUUAUUCUUCAUCCACACCUUGCUGUUUUGGUCAGGGCACACUCCAAGAAACCCACGACAGGGCUUUGUGUUUGCUGUAAAGAAGAAGGAGAAAUAGAUUAUUCUUAAGUGAGGGAUCAAUAUGUAAUAACGACAACCAUGUAAAUCGGUCACUGGUUUAUGGCCACUGAUGUACCUUCUUGACAAAUGAGAAUCAAACAAGUUUCUUUAGAUAUUAAAACUUGGAGUACUGAACUGGCUGUACCUGUGAGGAAUUCUGGAAAGAUUUCCUUGAAUAACCCCAGAGAUUAAUGACUCUUCAUAAGAAACAUUUCAAAACUCUCCUUCAAUGACAAACAGGCUUUUGGUUUUCAUUUCAAGUCUGCUACCUCUUCUUCCCAAGAAAAGCCCCUGCUCUUCACUUUUCUGAUAUUUAUAUCUAUUUAUCUCUCUCUCUCUAUAUAUAUAUAUAUGUGUGUGUGUGUCUGUGUGUGCACAUACUUUAUUACAACUGGAGGACAGCAUAAGAAUUCUCUGAAGAAACAAAAACCCAGACAAAAGUUUAUUCUUUAAUCUUAUCAAUUGUUAGAAUGGGAAAUAUUUGGAGAGAGUAUCAACAAAUUACUCCGAGUCAUUUCAAAUAUUGUUGAAGACAAAGUCAGAAACUAAAUCUAUUGGUAAGAAAGUCCAGUAAGAAAGCAAAAAAGCCUGCUGUUUCAAUGGAUGGAUCUGCGGUUUCCACUGAAAUGAGAAUUCAUUAAAAGCUGGAUAAUUAUUAUUAUUCUUUGUUUACAACUUUAUACAAAUCUUUGUUUGAAUUCAGAAAAAAACGGAAAUAUAUUGAAAUAAGACCCUGUGGAUUACAGUGGAUUAAAUAAAACUGCUGCCAUCCUCUUCCUGCUCAUCCAGUUUGGAUUAUGUGUAAAGAGCCAUGUAUUCUGUACAGUCUAUGGCGUUUCCACAAGCUUUUCCCCAAAACGACUUGCAUCACCACCAUCAUCACCACCACCAGCCACAACAGCUGAAAGUGAACUUGAAACAACCUGUCCCACAACAACAACAACAACAGCAACAACCACCGCCACAACCACAACAGCAACCACCACCACCGCCACCACAGCAACCACAACCAACACUACCACUUCAGACCUCAACUAUCAUAGCUCAAGGAAUUUCCAGCUCUGUCCCCGCUGUGUCUUCAGCCAACCAUCAACACGUAAACAACAGCAGCAACAGUGCCACAAGUAAGAAACCAUUCAAGUGUGACAUAUGCCGGAAGGCCUUUUCUCGCAGAGCGAACUUGGACCAUCACGAAAAUGCCCCUGCUACGGAAAAGCAUUUCAGUUGUGGCUAUUGUUUCAAGGCGUUUUCACAGAGAGACAAGUUGAAGAGUCACCAAGCUAUUCACACGGGAGAGAGGAACUUUCACUGCGACAUUUGCCAGAAGUCGUUCACGCAGAAAGAUCACCUCAACAACCACUCGCGGACACACAGUGGUCAUCGGCCUUUUAAAUGUCAGGUUUGCUCGAAGGCUUUUUCACAGCGGGCUCAUUUGAAAAACCACCAUCGCAUACACACUGGCGAGAAGCCAUUCCACUGCACCUUCUGCGGCAAAGGGUUCAGCCAAAGUGCACAUCUUGCUAAGCAUGAACGAGUGCACACUGGUCUUAGGCCAUUCAGCUGUGCCUACUGCGGCAAAUCAUUUGCACAGCGCAGCAACUUGGACAACCACGAGCGCAUCCAUACAGGCUUGAAACCCUAUCACUGUGGUGUGUGUUCCAAGUCUUUUGCUCAGCGAGAUCAUUUAAACAACCACGAACGUAUUCACAGCGGCGAGAGACCAUACAGGUGCACCACUUGCUCCAAGUCAUUUGCACAGCGUGCACAUCUCAACAACCACAAGCGCAUCCACAGCGGCGAGAAGCCAUACACGUGCUUGAUCUGUCAGAAGUCCUUCUCGCAGCGAGCUAAUCUGAAGAAGCACGAACGCACACACACUUCGGAAGACAUUCAGAAAGCAUCAUCACAAUCAACAGCAGAAAACACGACGGCCUCAGUUGUGGACAUGAAUUCAACCCCGGCACCAGCGCCAGCCUCCACCACGCCUUCAUCACAGCAACAAACAGUUCACACACUCAACGUGUCUCCUGCCUCUUCAGCUUCAUUAAUGAUGAGCGCAUCACCCUGUUGUGCCUCAUCAUUUUCCACACACCCUCAGGAUCACCUGCAUCCCCAUCAAGUGAUGGUGCCAGACAGGCUGCCAAACAGCUACUGUUGGUCUCGUGGCUUUCCCGUCACUGCUUGGAGUGAUAGCACUGCCGUGCCAACAGUCCCCCCCGGCAGUGUGUUUCCUUGCAAUGGCGGCAUUGUUGGAGUGCACAGUAGCGGCGUGGGGGUGGUGUGUAGUGCUGGAACUGGCUGCACUAGCCAGCACCCAAACAAACAUGGAAUACAACUGGAUCUGAAUAAACCCAACUCUCAUCACAAAGGAAAGCAUUAGGAAAAUGUCAGUACAAAGGAUAAACUGUACAGCUCCUGUCACAGUGUAACACCAACACAGAAUUUUAUAAAAAAGACCCUCUCUAUGUGACGUAAGCCUGCAAUGUGUCAUAUCAGUAUUAUGACUUCACACAAUAAAAUUUAGUUACACUGUGACAGGCAUAAAACUGUUGUUACAUUGUGACAGAAAACCACCGCAACUAUGUAUAACAGUGUACCAUGGCAGACAAAAAGCAUUGUGCCAAGGUGCUGUUGGGAAUAACUGCAUAACAGUCAGGAUAUGAUUAUAGAAUGAAUCCAUGUUAAAAAGAGACUUUAUAUCAGCUGACAUAACUGUGUAACAGUGUAUCAUCAUUGAACAGGCCAGUGUGUUAUGUUAAAGCAAGGCAUUGUAACUGUGUGUGUCACCACAGCAGAGUAUUGUAUCAGAGACUGUGUAUGGAUAUAUAUAUAUGAAUUAUAUACGACAGGAGAGUGUAGCACAAGUGACAGUAUGAAGGCCACAACACUGGAUAUGUGACAGUACCAAGGUGGCUGCAUUCACAUACAUACAUCCUGUGAUAGAUAUCUUUCUCCUCCUCCUCUUGCACACGGCACUCCAGAUACAUCAGAACAACUAUAGCAUUCUUGAAUCUGGAUCAGACAAAACCAACUGUAUUAGUAGUCUCUGAUCACAUGUGGCAUUGCAUAGGCAGUUAAGACAUGUCAUAGUGUACAGCUGUGACUGGUAGAGGGUUGAGACAUGUCACUACAUCUGUGACUGGUAGUGAGUGAGGUGUGAUAAUGUGAAAUUGGCUGGGAGAGAGUUAAGACAUGUCAGUAAACAACUGGCUGGUAGAGAGAGUUAAGACCUGUCAUCAUGGAAAAAAGGGAACUGGCAGAGGAUUGAGACUUGUCACAGCAUACAACGGUGACUGGCACAGGGCUCAAAUUAAAACUGGAAGAAGGGAUUCUAUUUUUGUUGUUUCAUUUUGUUACUGUUUAUUUCUUACGAUCCAGCUUGUUGUUAAGGGAGAUCCCCCAACAGAAGUUCAAUGACCUGAUCUGAGUUAUCAGAAUGUCUUUCAAUUGAAUCGAUUUUGGAUUUGAUCACAAGGACUGUGCUUUGGCCAGGUUUGGGAGAGCAAUUUGCAUUCCAUUCAGAAUAUCGUUCCAUGUUCAAAUUGCUAUUCAUUGUAACCUCAUACCAUCCACCAUUAUCUGAUCUCAUACCAUCUGUUAUUUUCUGACUUUAUAUUUCUCUCAUAACCAUCCAUUCAUUGUUUUCUGAUCUCACAUCUGUCAUAACCAUCCAUCAUUUUGUGACAACUUCCAAUUCGCUGUCAGUGGCAGGUUUUGACAUUCAGAGUUGUCGACCCUUAGUCAUAUCCUACGAAAACCUGGUCAUCUUAGCACUUUGCAUCCUCCUCUUUCACAAAGGGCCAGCUGCUCUUUUUGCCCAUUUAUGGUAAUCAGUCGGCUUUCACUUCACUUUCACCUGGUUUCCCAUCUCAACUGUAACCCUGUCGCUUUGUCACCCCCCCCCCCUCAUCAGUCAUCAUUCUAAUGUGGUCAUGUGAUCCAGUCACUCACCUCACCACACAGGAAAUCAUUUUGUUGUUUUGAAAGAAAUCCUCUUUUCUUUCUCUUUCUGGCCCAUGACCGUGCUUUCUUCCUCUUGUCAUUUCUAUUUGAACCUGAAACCACAGACAUGGAGCAGGGAUCCCUUAUCUUCUCCCUCAUUCAUCUUUACUUACUGUUCUUGAGAUUGAGUUACAAAACUGUGUUGAGUGGGGACAUCAACUCAACUUCCAUUUUCAGUCUCUCAAGUGGAAUCCCUAGUUUAACUCCAGACUUCAGUGACACAAUGAGCUCAACUCCAAGCAUAGCUGAGACAUCAGUUUAACUCCGGACUAUGUUAAAAGGACCCUUCCAGCUUGACUCUAAAUUAACGCCUCACUUGUCGGUCCCCUUUUAUUUCUAACACCCCUCUAUGCCACAUACUAAAUAAAGAAAAUGAAGACAUUUA
rnacentral:misc_RNA from 1 species